GAUGAACGCUGGCGGCGUGCCUAAUACAUGCAAGUCGAGCGAACAGACGAGGAGCUGGCUCCUCUGACGUUAUCGGCGGACGGGUGAGUAACACGUGGAUAACCUACCUAUAAGACUGGGAUAACUUCGGGAAACCGGAGCUACUACCGGAUAAUAUAUUGAACCGCAUUGUGCAAUAGUUAAAGACGGUUUUGCUGUCACUUAUAGAUGGAUCCGCGCCGAAUUAGCUAGUUGGUAAGGUAACUGCUUAACAAGGCAACGAUGCGUAGACGACCUGAGAGGGUGAUCCGACACACUGGAACUGAGACACGGUCCAGACUCCUACGGGAGGACGCAGUAGGGAAUCUUACGCAAUGGACGAAUGCGUGACGGAGCAACGUCGCCUGAGUGAUGAACGUCUUCUGAUCGUAAAACUAUGUUAUUAUGGAAGAACAAAUGUGUAAGUACCUAUGAACGUCUUGACGGUACCUAAUCAGAAAGCUCCGGCUAACUCCGUG
rnacentral:rRNA from 1 species